CGCCUCUUGAAAAAAUAUAAGAGGUCCAGCCUGCCCAGUGACAAAGUUCAACGGCCGCGGUAUCCUGACCGUGCGAAGGUAGCAUAAUCACUUGUUCUUUAAAUAGGGACUAGUAUCAACGGCAUCACGAGGGCUGCACUGUCUCCUUUCUCUAAUCAGUGAAACUGAUCUCCCCGUGAAGAAGCGGGGAUUCUUAUAUAAGACGAGAAGACCCCAUGGAGCUUCAAGCAAUGAAUUUACCUUUAAUUGAAACUUCUACUAAUUUAAAAAGCCUAAUUCUAGCUUUAGGUUGGGGAGACCGCGGAGUAAAACUUAACCUCCGCAACCAACGGGCUUUGCCCUUAUCCAUGAGCCACAGCUCUAAGAAUUAAUAAACUAAUGCCUUUGACCCGAAAAUUCGAUCAAUGAACCAAGUUACCCUGGGGAUAACAGCGCAAUCUACUUUGAGAGCCCCUAUCGACAAGUAGGCUUACGACCUCGAUGUUGGAUCAGGGUAUCCCAGUGGUGCAGCCGCUACUAAUGGUUCGUUUGUUCAACGAUUAAAACCCC
rnacentral:rRNA from 1 species